rnacentral:lncRNA from 1 species
AUGAUGAAGCAGAAGAUAACAAGGCAGUGUUCAUUCAGCAUACAAAGAAAGUUGGAAUUUGCCAGAAAGGGACAAACUAUCUUGGGAAAGGAAGAAAGUCAGAAAGAUCCAACGGAAGAAGUGGGGCAGGAGAACAAGAAAAUCUUUGAAAAUUCCAUAAAGAAGACGAUAUCUUCCUCAAGUCUUUUUCUGUCACAGAUUCCUCACACUCCCCAUUUUGACAUACUCUUGGUCAUUUUUAUUGUCAUAAGAAGAGCAGUCAUAUGUUUGUGUACACACGACAUUCUACCCAGACCUCUAGGUCACUUUUAUUUUUCCUUGUCUUGUGCUCUGUUGUAAUUAAGAGUAAACUCCUUAUAAUGAAAAAGGACAUGAUACAUAUUUUCUAGGUAACAGUAUUAGUCAUUCUUAGGAACUGAGCACAGUACAAAGUACUUUGUACGUAUUAUCUGAGGGGAUUCAAGACCAUCUGUGGGUAUAUGCAUCUGCCAUUCACAUUUACCAGAUAGAGCAACUGAAGACUUCAGCAAUUGUAAUUUGCCGAGAGCCACAUAAAUAAUAACUGGCAGAUCCAGACAAGUGAAGCAAUAAAUGGUAAGGAAGAUACGAUUGGAAGAGACA